rnacentral:sRNA from 1 species
CACCAAGUCCGAGGCUCCCGGGGCAUCCCGGGACCUGGUGCAAAAGGGA